UUCUCUUCUCCCCUCACUAGAUGGAUCUGCUUGGUCAACGGAUGCACAGACGUUUUCUUUGUGUGGUUGCACGCUGACGGGUGCAUGGGAGGGAGGGUCCAUGCUGCGCGAUGAUCAAUGCAUCACUUCACUCAGCGCAUGUCGACCAGGCAUGCAAAUCACUUACUUGCAGU
rnacentral:ribozyme from 1 species